GCUGCCCCUAGAUGCCUUGCAGGUGUGGCUGCUGUAUCAUGUGUGCAUCAGUAGGUGGCAGAAAGGAGAAAGUCUAUGUCUCAGCUAUGUCUACAAUCAUUGGUCUGACCUAUAAAUAUCUGAAUAAUUAGUAACCUAACAUC
ensembl:snoRNA predicted gene, 25904